AACACUGUGGUCUAGUGGUGAGAGUGUCCGCCUUGGAUGCGGGUGGUAUUGGGUUCGAUCAUCGGUCGAGUUA